UACGAAGGUCCCAAGCGUUAUCCGGAUUUAUUGGGUUUAAAGGGUGCGUAGGCGGGUAAGUAAGUCCGUGGUGAAAUCUCUGAGCUUAACUCAGAAACUGCCGUGGAUACUAUUUGCCUUGAAUAUUGUGGAGGUGAGCGGAAUAUGUCAUGUAGCGGUGAAAUGCUUAGAUAUGACAUAGAACACCAAUUGCGGAGGCAGCUCACUACACAAUCAUUGACGCUGAGGCACGAAAGCGUGGGGAUCAAACAGG
rnacentral:rRNA from 1 species